AUGCCAUUUGGUAUGUUUAUAGGAGUUAGUAACCACUUUGAGAGUGUAAUAUUCGCUGGAGUGUUCUUGACUAAUGAGAAGGAAGAGAAUUUAUGUUGGGCUUUUAAGCAAUUUGUUGCUAUGAUGGGUGGAAAACACCCAGUUACUAUUCUUACAGAUCAGGCUAGAGCCAUUGGAAAUGCAGUCAGGAAAGUUUUCACUCAUGCAGAACAUAGAUGGUGCAAAUGGCAUGUUCUUAAGCGGGCUCAUGAACUUCUUGGUGCUGUCUAUAGCAAGCACAAAACAUUUGCCGAUGAUUUCCAUAAGCUAGUGAACCACAUGCUAACUGUAGAAGAGUUUGAAUCUGUCUGGAAUUUCGUUACGGUAAAAUAUUGUUUGCAGGAACAUCCUUUUAUGACUAGAGCAUACGAGUGCAGGCACAAAUGGGCUAAACCAUAUUUUAGCAAAGUUUUCUGUGCUAGAAUGUGUAGCACUCAACGUAGUGAGUGUGCAAACUUUAUGCUGAAGAUACAUACUGUAUGCAAUUCUUCAAUAAAUGCAUUCAUUACCCAGUACACUAAGCUUAUAGACGAUCGUAAGAGUUGUGACGCAGAUGCCGAAAGGAAUAACAAGCAGAAAAUAAUUAAGGUCCAUUUUGGAUAUCCAAUGGAGAAGCAUGCUCCAGUUAUCUAUACUGCAAAGGUUUAUAAUCUAUUCAAGAAGGAGCUCAUUAAGUCAACAUCAUACCUUGUGCUUCCUAGCAAGGAGGAACAUACUUUUGUUGUGAAGCACGUCUAG
rnacentral:rRNA from 1 species